CAGUCGCCACGGGAAUACGUAGGUGGCAAGCGUUGUCCGGAAUUAUUGGGCGUAAAGGGCUCGCAGGCGGUUUCUUAAGUCUGAUGUGAAAGCCCCCGGCUCAACCGGGGAGGGUCAUUGGAAACUGGGAGGCUUGAGUAUAGGAGAGAAGAGUGGAAUUCCACGUGUAGCGGUGAAAUGCGUAGAGAUGUGGAGGAACACCAGUGGCGAAGGCGACUCUUUGGCCUAUAACUGACGCUGAGGCGCGAAAGCGUGGGGAGCGAACAGGAUUAGAUACCCCUGUAGUCCCUGUCUCUUAUAC
rnacentral:rRNA from 1 species